GAUGAACGCUGGCGGCGUGCCUAAUACAUGCAAGUCGAGCGAACGGACGAGAAGCUUGCUUUUCUUAUGUUAGCGGCGGACGGGUGAGUAACACGUGGAUAACCUACCUAUAAGACUGGGAUAACUUCGGGAAACCGGAGCUAAUACCGGAUAAUAUUUUGAACCGCAUGGUUCAAAAGUGAAAGACGGUCUUGCUGUCACUUAUAGAUGGAUCCGCGCUGCAUUAGCUAGUUGGUAAGGUAACGGCUUACCAAGGCAACGAUGCAUAGCCGACCUGAGAGGGUGAUCGGCCACACUGGAACUGAGACACGGUCCAGACUCCUACGGGAGGCAGCGGUAGGGAAUCUUCCGCAAUGGGCGAAAGCCUGACGGAGCAACGCCGCGUGAGUGAUGAAGGUCUUCGGAUCGUAAAACUCUGUUAUUAGGGAAGAACAUAUGUGUAAGUAACUGUGCACAUCUUGACGGUACCAAAUCAGAAAGCCACGGCUAACUACGUG
rnacentral:rRNA from 1 species